UACGUAGGGUGCAAGCGUUGUCCGGAAUUAUUGGGCGUAAAGAGCGUGUAGGCGGCCUCGUAAGUCCGCUGUGAAAGUCCAGGGCUCAACCCUGGAAAGCCGGUGGAUACUGCGAGGCUAGAGUCCGGAAGGGGCGAGUGGAAUUCCUGGUGUAGCGGUGAAAUGCGCAGAUAUCAGGGGGAACACCGGUGGCGAAGGCGGGUCUCUGGGCCGUUACUGACGCUGAGGAGCGAAAGCGUGGGGAGCGAACAGG
rnacentral:rRNA from 1 species